AUGGCAUUUAAAUAUCCACAUAUGGAGUUUGAAUUUGAAUCUUGGAUUCAAACCAACUUCAUUUAUCUGGUUGCUAGUUGCAUUAGCUCAAACCGCAUCAUAUUGCCAUGUCAUGAUCAUGCAUCAUAUUAUUGCAUAGCAUUGAUUGUGUUCUUCCUUGUUUGCCGGUAUUUGUCCCCUCUCAGUAGACGUUGUUCCGACGAUGAGUUUGAUGACACCGAUGAAGAACUAUUACUAUCUUCACAAGUGCCAGGCAAGCAAACCCCCCUUGUUCAUUCCGAUACAAUCCCACUCUCUCGCUCCUGCUCUCUUUUACUGCAUUAG
rnacentral:rRNA from 1 species